GCCGGGCGUAGUGGCUCACGCCUGUAAUCCCAGCACUUUGGGAGGCAGAGGUGGGUGGAUCACCUGAGGUCAGGAGUUCAAGACCAGCCUGGCCAACAUGGUGAAACCCCGUCUCUA
rnacentral:SRP_RNA from 1 species